rnacentral:rRNA from 1 species
CCAAGGGAACGAGCUUGGCAGAAUCAGUAGGGAAAGAAGACCCUGUUGAGCUUAACUCUAGUCCGACUUUGUGAAAUGACUUCAGAGGUGUAGGAUAAGUGGGAGCCAAAAGGCGAAAGUAAAAUACCACCACUUUUAACAUUAUUUUACUUAUUUCAUAAAUCGAAGGCGGGGCACUGCUCCUCGUUUUGGACCCAAGGCUCAAUUCGAUGGCUGAUCCGAGCUAAAGAUAUUGUCGAUGAGGAGUUUGGCUAAGGCGGUACAUCUGUUAAAAGAUAAUGCAGGUGUCCUAAGAUGAGCUCAAUGAGAAUAGAAAUUUCAUAUGGAACAUAAGAGUAAAAGCUUGUUUGAUUCUGAUUUACAGUACGAAUACGAACCGUGAAAGUGUGGCCUAACGAUCAUUUAAACCUUUGAAAUUUGAAGCUAGAGGUGUCAGAAAAGUUACCACAGGGAUAAUUAGUUUGUGGCAGCCAAGCAUUCAUAACAAUGUUGCUUUUUGAUCCUUCGAUGUCCGCUCUUCCUUUCAUUGUGAAGCAAAAUUCACCAAGUGUCGGAUUGUUCACCCACCAACAGGAAACGUAAGUUGGUUUAUGACUAAAUGCCGACAGGCUAGUUUUAUCCUAUUGAUGA